GACGAACGCUGGCGGCGUGCUUAACACAUGCAAGUCGAACGGAAAGGCCCUGCUGUUGUGGGGUGCUCGAGUGGCGAACGGGUGAGUAACACGUGAGUAACCUGCCCUUGACUUUGGGAUAACUUCAGGAAACUGGGGCUAAUACCGGAUAGGAGCUCCUGCUGCAUGGUGGGGGUUGGAAAGUUUCGGCGGUUGGGGAUGGACUCGCGGCUUAUCAGCUUGUUGGUGGGGUAGUGGCUUACCAAGGCUUUGACGGGUAGCCGGCCUGAGAGGGUGACCGGCCACAUUGGGACUGAGAUACGGCCCAGACUCCUACGGGAGGCAGCAGUGGGGAAUAUUGCACAAUGGGCGGAAGCCUGAUGCAGCAACGCCGCGUGCGGGAUGAUGGCCUUCGGGUUGUAAACCGCUUUCGCCUGUGACGAAGCGUGAGUGACGGUAAUGGGUAAAGAAGCACCGGCUAACUACGUG
rnacentral:rRNA from 1 species